CGAGGCAGGCGGAUUACCUGAGGUCAGGAGUUUAAGACCAGCCUGGCCAAUAUGAUAAAACACUGUCUCUACUAAAAAUACAAAAAUUAGCCACACGCACUGGUGGGAAGUCCCAGCUACUUGGGAGGCUGAGGCAAGAGAAUCGCUUGAACCCGGGAGACAAUGAAGAAAGAACAUGAAAAGAAUAAAGCUUGGUUUCAUGUGCUCAAGAGUUCACAUCUAGUUAAGACAGGAAAAGUCUCAUAUAUGAAGACUCAGAGAACAAGUGGAGAACAGACCAUCAGUGCAAAAAAUCUGCAGAAGUGGUGGAGCAAUCAAAACCUGGCAAUUUGCUAUGUCAACCCCCAUUCUACAGCCUGAAGAACAUAUGCUUUCAGAAUGGCGUUUAUGAUCUAAAUGCCAUCUUGCUACAAGCCUUCCAGCUAGGAUGUUCCCCGUAGUUGAAGCAAACGGAAAGGAAGUUUCUGAGUUGAAGUAAACAGCAAGGAAGGAGGGUCACAGCCCCGCAGCACAGUUCCCAGGAUGACUGCUGUGCCACUCACAAAAUGAGCCUUUUGACUGACUCCAACAGCAGGACGGGACCGUCGUUUCACGAGGUGAGCUACCGGCAGACAGAUGUAUCCGAAUCGCAUUAAUUGGAACUUCUUGUCACAGGAUAACAGAAUUUCAAUUUCUCUGUGGAUGCCUGU
rnacentral:antisense_RNA from 1 species